UACGUAGGGUGCGAGCGUUGUCCGGAAUUACUGGGCGUAAAGAGCUCGUAGGUGGUUUGUCGCGUUGUUCGUGAAAACCGGGGGCUUAACCCUCGGCGUGCGGGCGAUACGGGCAGACUGGAGUACUGCAGGGGAGACUGGAAUUCCUGGUGUAGCGGUGGGAUGCGCAGAUAUCAGGAGGAACACCGGUGGCGAAGGCGGGUCUCUGGGCAGUAACUGACGCUGAGGAGCGAAAGCGUGGGGAGCGAACAGG
rnacentral:rRNA from 1 species